AAGCCAUACUAUCAAUCUCUCAUUAAAAAAUAUUUCCCAGAGAAACUGAGAUGGUGAAACUUGAAGAUGUUGAAGAAGAAGCUUAGAUGGAGGAACUUCUGAAGAUGUUGGAGAUGAAGCAGCUAAGGGCGUGGUCGGGGGAUCGGAUAGUCAAUUACUUGAUGAUAUGAGAUCUCAGAGUUGCCGUCCCUUUUUGUUCUUUCCUUUCUUUUUGGGCGUAUGUGCCUUUUUAUAAUUUGAUAGAAUAAAUAAAUUAUUUUCUGGUCAUGUCCAUCUAAAUAAAGGCAUAUAUAUUAUAUAUUAGCUUGUCGGUCCUUGUAGAGUGUAUAUCUUAAUGAAAUAUAUCCUUUUUCUUAUU